rnacentral:lncRNA from 1 species
CUCCACAGCCAUGGCCGCGACGCAGGAGCUGCUGCUGCAGUUGCAGAAGGAUAACCGAGAUGGUCGCCAGCGGAAGCAGGAGCUAGAGAAGCUGAUGCGCGGGCUCGAGGCCGAGAGCGAGAGCCUGCCUCAACCAGCGCCUGCAGGACCUGAGCGAGCGGGAGCGGAGGCUGCUGCGGAGGCGAAGCCAGGAAGCGCUGCUUCUGCAAGGGGAGGUGCGCGAGGCGGCGCGGGAGCGCGCGCAGCGGGUGCGCAGAAGACUGGAGGAGGCGGAGCGCCACAAGGAGGACUUGGUGAGGAAGAGUCCUGGAAUGGGGCUGGACCCAGGGUGGGGUGGGGCAGGGCGGGCGGAAGGGGGCAGGAUCCGGGGGUGGGGUGAGGUAGGACCGGCGGUGAGGCCGGCACCGCCCCAGGACCCUGUCCGCAGGAGCAGCACAGCAGGCAGCUGCAGGGCAGUGGGAGGAGCUGUCGAGUCAGGUACGUGCAGGAGAUGGGAGGGCCUGUCUCUUGGUUCCUCUCGGAAGUCCUGCCCUUGCCCUCGCUCUCAUUGCCUCCCCGUCCCUGUCUCCCCUGACACUCGUUCCUCCAGAAGCCCGGUAAACCCCGUCCUUACGAGCCCCGCCCCUAGCUCUUCUACUACGGAGGGGAACUGCAGAGCCAGAAGAGCACGGAGCAGCAACUCGCAGCCCAAUUGGUGACGCUGCAGGUGCUUGAGCGGGACCCUG